AUUAUACUCCCUCAGUUCCAAAUUACUUGUUGCAAAAAUGGAUGUAUCUAGAACUAAAAUACAUCUAGAUACAUCCAUAUCUGCGACAAGUAAUUCGGAACGGAGGGACUAGGUG
rfam:Triticum urartu cultivar G1812 contig748203, whole genome shotgun sequence.